rnacentral:tRNA from 2 species
AUUUAAAUAGCUUAAAAAGAGUUUAAUACUGAAGAUAUUAAGGUAACUAAUUAUAGUUUUUAAAUA